UUGAGGGUGGGUGUUUUACGAGCCCAAAUUUGUUUCGUAGACCUAGGAACCGUGAGUGAGAUAAUGCUUUAGUGAAUAGGUUAGCAACUUGCUCAGACGAUGGCACAUAUUGAACCGACAUCUAGCAUGCUAGGACUCGAUCUCGGACAAAGUGGACGUCCAGCUUGAUGUGUUUUGUUCAAGCAUGGAAAACAGGGUUCGAAGCAAGAGCAGAGGCACUUCGAUUAUCAUACCAGGCUACAAGAACUUGAGAAAGCUUGAAUCCAAGCUUAGAAAAUAAAGAUUGAAGCCAGGUGAACUUGGUAGCUACAUUGGCCAAGGAGCAAUACUUUGAUUCAGUGCUUGACCGAGCCACAACCUUUUGUUUCUUCCCUGACCAUGCAAUGAAAGACUCAUCGAGGAAGAUGCAGUGACCUCUGAUCAAUCUCCGAUCAUCAGUGUAUGCGGCCUAAUCGGAGUCAGAGAAUCCUUGCAAGGUAUAGUAGAGGAUGGAGAUGAAUUAAGUAAUGAUACGAUAGCUGGACUCUCAGGAGAAUUUAGAAGAGGAGCAGGACCACCUGAAUCUUUUGCUGCAGUAAGUGAUUGAUCAGUGGAAGAAGGACAUGAAGUAGGCAAAGCUGAUAAAAAAGGUUUAAAGAAAACCUUUGGAUUAACUUCAACUUUAUUAGAUAAAUAGCUUUUGAUAGUGAGUCUAUUGAUACCCUUCCAUCAAUUUCAGCUACAAAUUCAACUAAGGUUUUUGAGUACACAGAAAAAUAUGGAGCAGGAGUAUAAUAACAUCAAGCAGGGCCUAACGAUAAUGUAAGUGGUGACAAAAACAAGAGCUGCAGGAAAAAAAAUUGAUGUGUAAUGAAACAAAAAAGGGCAAGCAAUCAAAUCUUCAAAAUUUAUAAGUUAUAUUGGGGUGGUAGCAAAGACUAUUGUGCCUAUCACAGUAAAAUCAUGGCACAAAGUGGAUGAGGCCACGAAGAAUCUUGUUUGGGAUACCGUAGUAGUAAGUUACAUUUUACUAAGUAUAUUUUAGUAUAAACUAUUUUUAAAAUUGAUGCAUCUGAUAUGUUGUUUAUUUUAUUUUACAGUCAGGAUUUGAAAUUGAUGAGAGUAAAAAGGAUUUUGUCCUACAAAAGGCUAGGAGGGCACUACUGUCUUUUAGAUAUUUCAUCACACAGAUUGGGAUGCUAAAUUUAUAGCUCAAGUUUCUCCCUUAUUACAACCUUUAGUAAAAUAAGAGGAUUGGGAUGCUUUUGUUGCCUCACGGCGUGAAAAGUAAUUCAAGGUAUUGGUGUUUCCUAAAUUGCAAGUUUGGUGUUAUUUAUUGAUUGUAUGUUCAUGUACUAAUAAAAUUUUUUAUUAUUAAUUUGUCGAGGAACUGAGUGCUUAGAAUAAAGAGAGAAUAGUGAAGAACGAAUAUCCUUAUAAAGCAGGGAGGUUGGGGUAUAUAGGCAUUGAAUAAAAACAAGCAGAGAAGAAGGGAUCAGAGGUUACCAUAUCUUGCCAUAAGCUCUGGGUAUUAGCACACGCUAAUAAAAAAGGAAUUAUUGACAACCCUCACGUGAAGGAGGUUACUAAAAAAAUUAUAAGUAUUAUACUUAUCUGUCAUUUAAUAAUUGAUUAUGAACAUCCAAACUAAUCAUAUUUACUUUACACAAGAUUCCAUCUCUUAGGAAGUCUCACAAGGCAAUCUUCCUGAGCAUGAGGAUAUCUUGGCUAGGGCAUUAGGGACUGUUGACCACCCUGGUCAUGUCACGGGUAUUGACUUCGAUAUCAUGAAGAAGCAAUAUUUUAGCAAGAUAUAGAAGCGAACAUCAACUUCUUUGUCUGAGGUCCAAGAGCUGAGAGAAAAGCAAGCCAUUAUGAAGCAGCAACUACUAGCCCAGGCAACAUUAUUUGACAUGUUGCUGAAAAGGCAAGUCCCUGGGAGGACUUUGUGUAAGAUUAGCCCUAGCCAGAAAGAUAGCCACACAAUCCCUUCAAAAAAAACCACACGAGGGCGAGAACGACUACAAUUGUUUGGCAGACACUCUUGAACGUAAAGUGGUUGUAACUGAUGUGUGUACAACUGUGUAAGAGUUUUUCUACUUGUUGCAAUUGACCUUAAGUACCCAUUGCCUGUUCCUACCGAUGAGGCACACAUGGUGGCAGAUGCAGUAGGGAGCUUCAUUACAUGGCCUAGCCAUCUUGUAAUGAUGGUAACACCAAAGUUGGCAAAGGACCUAUUGCCUCUAAAAAAAUGUAUGAUUUAAAUAGUUAUUUAUAAUUUUAUAAUAUAAUUAUAAAUAUCUAACUUUUUUGUUAUGUAGCUGAGAGGGAAGAGAAACUUAAAAGUAAGUCAGGCUAUAUCAUAGAGUUAGCCAUAGUUUCGUAGUAUCUAGCAGCACCGGCGCCAGUUAUAGAAUACGAAUACCAUGUCUCUCUUAAGACUUAUGCAAUAGCCAUAAGGAUGGCUCAUAAAGUGGAAAUUGAGGAUGUCAUUAGUUUGAUGAUAGGUAUAUGAAAAACUGAACUCAUUUAAAGUUAUUCAGGAUGAAAUUUUAAAUUAAAUCCUCAAGCACAAAAUAACCAGCACUAGUCUAAUGAGCUUCUACAUGAGGUAUUUCUUCGGUAGUGCUCAAUUAAUUAUUUAAAUUAUAUGUGUGUGUAUACACAUGUGCAUAUAUUAGCCUGGUUAUUUUUUCACCCAAGGCACCUUUAUACCUCAUUUAUGGUUGCUAGUGGCCUCGAGUUGAGAUUUAAGUUAAUUAAUCCCAUAAUGUCUCUGCCUAUAAUAAAAUUACAAAGGAAUCUCUUGAAGAUCAAGUAAGGUAGCUUUCAGAUCAAUUCAAGGAUAGGGGAGUAGACAAUGAUAUUUUAUUUCUCACUCCUUACUGCUAGGGGUGAGCCACUUUCUAGCUAAUUUUGGUACAAGAAAAUAUUUUUUAUAUUUACUUAUUUAAUAACACUUGUAUUUCUUAUUAGGAGGUACUGGAUGCUUAUUGUGAUUAACCAUAUUACUCCAUAAAUUUGGUAUCUUAAUCUUCUUAAUGGAAAAUCAAGCAACAAGGUAGAUAUGGUAGAAAUUUUUAAUAGGUGAGUUGAAUUUUUAUCAAUUUUUAUUUUAAUAUACACACAUAUAGAAUUUCUAACAUUUAUUCUUUACUUCUCUCUUAUAGCUAUGGUAUUGCAACCAACAAGACCUUGUCUCCCAGCUUAAGGACAUUGGACUUUUGUGAGAAAUGGCUCACAUGUCCACUUUAGCCAGAUCAGAGUGAUGACUGUGGCUAUUACUUAAUGAAAUUCUUGGAGGACAUUAUCACCCAUGUCCCUACCACAUUACCUAACAAGUACUUCAAGGAUCCCUAUUGUGUUCGAUAUGUAGCUGCACAUAUAGAAGAAGCCCUUAAAGAGGUAGAUCAAGCCGCAUUCAACAUGUGAAUAGCGAUAGUGGUUAGGCCCAAUAAUUAGUUUUGAUAUACACACCUAUUUUUUUUUUGUCCAAUUUUACGUCUUAAGCCAUUUAGUUUUGAAAUUUUAGCUUGCAAAUUAGGUAAAAUUAUAGAUUUUUUAUGACUUUAGGUUUAGGAUAUAGGAAGAUAUAAGAGAUUAAAGACA